GACGAACGCUGGAGGCGUGCUUAACACAUGCAAGUCGAACGAUGAAAUGGAGCUUGCUCCAUGGAUUAGUGGCGAACGGGUGAGUAACACGUGAAUAACCUGCCCUUAAUUUUGGAAUAACCCAGGGAAACCUGGGCUAAUACAGGAUAAGUAAACCUGUGGCAUCACAUGGUUUUGGAAAGUUUUUCGAUUAAGGAUGGAUUCGCGGCCUAUCAGCUUGUUGGUGAGGUAAUGGCUCACCAAGGCGACGACGAGUAGCCGGCCGGAGAGGGUGAACGGCCACACUGGGACUGAGACACGGCCCAGACUCCUACGGGAGGCAGCAGUGGGGAAUAUUGCGCAAUGGACGAAAGUCUGACGCAGCGACGCCUCGUGAGGGACGAAGGUCUUCGGAUUGUAAACCUCUUUCAGCAGGGACGAAGCGAAAGUGACGGUACCUGCAGAAGAAGCACCGGCUAACUAUGUGCCAGCAGCCGCCGUAA
rnacentral:rRNA from 1 species